AUCAAGAGGUGAAUUUCGUGGAGGAGCCAUGAAAGUAAAGAAAGAAUGAACAAGCUAAAGAUUCAAUUGGAAGAGCAGCGGAAGAAGGAUCGAAAUGGCGAAUGAUACCAUAUUGUGAAAAUCAGUUUCUGCAUUAAAGAACAAGAAAAUGCAGAGCAAAAAAUGCAGAAUGAAGAAGAAGAAGAAAGAAAGUUUUCAGGAAAAGAGAAUAAUAGCUUGUUAU
rnacentral:lncRNA from 1 species